AACGAACGCUGGCGGCAUGCCUAACACAUGCAAGUCGAACGAGACCUUCGGGUCUAGUGGCGCACGGGUUCGUAACGCGUGGGAACCUGCCCUUAGGUUCGGACUAACUCCCCGAAAGGGGUGCUAAUACCGGAUAAUGUCUUCGGCCCAAAGAUUUAUCGCCUUUGGAUGGUCCCGCGUUGGAUUAGCUAGUUGGUAGGGUAAAAGCCUACCAAGGCGACGAUCCAUAGCUGGUCUGAGAGGAUGAUCAGCCACACUGGGACUGAGACACGGCCCAGACUCCUACGGGAGGCAGCAGUGGGGAAUAUUGGACAAUGGGCGAAAGCCUGAUCCAGCAAUGCCGCGUGAGUGAUGAAGGCCUUAGGGUUGUAAAGUGCUUGUACCCGGGAUGAUAAUGACAGUACCGGGAGAAUAAGCUCCGGCUAACUCCGUG
rnacentral:rRNA from 1 species